rnacentral:rRNA from 1 species
AUUAAACGCUGGCGGCAUGCCUUACACAUGCAAGUCGAACGGCAGCACGGGGGCAACCCUGGUGGCGAGUGGCGAACGGGUGAGUAGAGCAUCGGAACGUGCCCUGGAAUGGGGGAUAACGUAGCGAAAGUUACGCUAAUACCGCAUAUUCUGUGAGCAGGAAAGCAGGGGAUCGCAAGACCUUGCGUUCUGGGAGCGGCCGAUGUCGGAUUAGCUAGUUGGUGGGGUAAAGGCCUACCAAGGCGACGAUCCGUAGCGGGUCUGAGAGGAUGAUCCGCCACACUGGGACUGAGACACGGCCCAGACUCCUACGGGAGGCAGCAGUGGGGAAUCUUAGACAAUGGGCGCAAGCCUGAUCUAGCCAUGCCGCGUGAGCGAUGAAGGCCUUAGGGUUGUAAAGCUCUUUCAGUGGGGAAGAUAAUGACUGUACCCACAGAAGAAGCCCCGGCUAACUCCGUG